rnacentral:rRNA from 1 species
ACCGUGGAUGCGUCAGCAGCGGCGAGUGAGCGGCAACAGCUCAAUUUGAAAGCCCGCGGGCGUUGUAAUUUGCAGGCGGAUGUUUUGGGGCGGGCGCUGUCUACGUUCCUUGGAACAGGACGCCGCAGAGGGUGAGAGCCCCGUGCGAUGGCGCCUCCAACCGCGUAAAACUCCGCCGACGAGUCGAGUUGUUUGGGAAUGCAGCUCCAAGUGGGUGGUAAAUUCCAUCUAAAGCUAAAUACUGGCGAGAGACCGAUAGCGAACAAGUACAGUGAUGGAAAGAUGAAAAGCACUUUGAAAAGAGAGUGAAACAGCACGUGAAAUUGUUGAAAGGGAAGGGUAUGCGAUUAGCGGCCAGCAGGAGGUGCCUUCUCGUGAAAAGGCCGUGCACCGUCUUCGGACACCGUGCGCGGAGAUGGCGAGGGGGCGCCUGAGGUCUGCGACUCGAGGUUGCUGGCGUAAUGAUUGCAUACCACCCGUCUUGAAACAACGGACCCAA